rnacentral:rRNA from 1 species
AAAUUGAAGAGUUUGAUCAUGGCUCAGAUUGAACGCUGGCGGCAGGCCUAACACAUGCAAGUCGAACGGUAACAGGAAACAGCUUGCUGUUUCGCUGACGAGUGGCGGACGGGUGAGUAAUGUCUGGGAAACUGCCUGAUGGAGGGGGAUAACUACUGGAAACGGUAGCUAAUACCGCAUAAUGUCGCAAGACUAAAGAGGGGGACCUUCGGGCCUCUUGCCAUCGGAUGUGCCCAGAUGGGAUUAGCUAGUAGGUGGGGUAACGGCUCACCUAGGCGACGAUCCCUAGCUGGUCUGAGAGGAUGACCAGCCACACUGGAACUGAGACACGGUCCAGACUCCUACGGGAGGCAGCAGUGGGGAAUAUUGCACAAUGGGCGCAAGCCUGAUGCAGCCAUGCCGCGUGUAUGAAGAAGGCCUUCGGGUUGUAAAGUACUUUCAGCGGGGAGGAAGGGAGUAAAGUUAAUACCUUUACUCAUUGACGUUACCCGCAGAAGAAGCACCGGCUAACUCCGUGCCAGCAGCCGCGGUAAUACGGA